GGGUCCGAUUGGUAACCUACGAAG
rnacentral:siRNA from 1 species